rnacentral:SRP_RNA from 1 species
GGUCGGACUAGGCCGGGCAGCUAGGCCCUGCUCCUCGCCCGCGAAAUGGUCUUGAGCGGGGGCCGAACGCCCGGGGCGUCCGGUCAAACCCGACCGGGCCCCGGAAGCCGACGUCGAAGCCUCGUCCGUCGGGGACGACGGUCCACGGCGAUCGCCUGCAGGGGCGACCCGUCGUGGUUAACCGGUGGCAGCCGUCAGGCGCGGAAGCGAGCAGCGGACCACCGGACAGUCGUCGCUCGCCGGGUCGCGGGGUGGAGGAGGCGACCGGGCUGACCCGGACGGGAACGAUCGGGCAACUCGGGCCGUCCACCA